AGAAUCAACGCUGGCGGCGUGCCUCAGACAUGCAAGUCGAACGAUUAAAGCUCCCUUCGGGGAGUGUAUAAAGUGGCGCACGGGUGAGUAACACGUAAGUAAUCUGCCUUUGAGUGGGGAAUAACAUCGGGAAACCGAUGCUAAUACCGCAUAAUGCAGCGGCACCGCAAGGUGACAGUUGUUAAAGGAGCAAUCCGCUUAAAGAGGAGCUUGCGGCAGAUUAGCUAGUUGGUAAGGUAUGGCUUACCGAAGGCUACGAUCUGUAUCCGGUCUAAGAGGACGGUCGGACACACUGACACUGAAUAACGGGUCAGACUCCGUACGGAGGCAGCAAGUCGGGAAUUUUGGGCAAGUGGACGAAAGCUAGACCCAGCAACGCCGACGU
rnacentral:rRNA from 1 species